rnacentral:rRNA from 1 species
UACGGGGGGCAAGCGUUGUUCGGAAUUACUGGGCGUAAAGGGCUCGUAGGCGGCCAACUAAGUCAGACGUGAAAUCCCUCGGCUUAACCGGGGAACUGCGUCUGAUACUGGAUGGCUAGAGGUUGGAGAGGGAUGCGGAAUUCACGGUGUAGCAGUGAAAUGCGUAGAUAUCGUGAGGAAGACCAGUGGCGAAGGCGGGUCUCUGGACAGUUCCUGACACUGAGGCACGAAGGCCAGGGAGCAAACGGG